ensembl:lncRNA
AUCUCUAUGUGGAGAUUAUUCCUCUUGGAGCCCUUCUGCGAGCCCAGGACACAGGUUCUUCAGAAGAAGUUAGAGAUACAAACUAGAGGUGAAAAUGUGCUAGAAUCUCAUUCAAGAUGCUGUUGACAAGACACUAUUUGCAAGUGUAAGAGACUAUUCUUUUAUAUCAUUGACUCAAAGUUUGCUGAGGAACAAGUCCAGGCAAGUCCUGGGCAAAGGCAGAGAAAUCUUUUGUCUUGAGGACACUGAUGGACAGGUCCUGGCUAAGGAUUGUGAAAUCCUUUAAGGAGCACAGAUGGACAAGGCCAGGGGCAUCGAGAGAGAGAUAAGCUGCCGCUAAUGGCCGGUAAACGGUCUUUUUGUGUGGACUUAUCUCAAGGAAAAUGGCCAUCUCAGGAGGUAUGCACAUGACUCUUGCUCAAGCACCCAGGAAUGUCACGUAGGCAGCAGAAGAUGGAGGAUAAAAGAGGGUCCAAUAACCACAACGGUGGAAGCUGAUCCUUCACCACAACCACGGCAACGGGAGAGGCUUAUCUCUCACCACGACAGACUUGAGGGGUUCUCUGCCAACUGAUCUCUCACCGCAACGUGUAGACGGAUCUCUACGUGGAGACUGAUCUCUCACCACGACACGAGCUUCCUGCCUUCCGAUCCUCCUCUACGGACCGUUUGCUGACGGACUUCCCUGGGCCUGCUACCUGAGACCUGCUGCUUCCUCCCUGACCUGCAUCCUCUCGCUGCCCCAGACCGGCCUCGCUGCUCCUGCCCUUCGGCCUCGGACCGUCGGAACAUCGUGCAACGGGACUGCUGCCGGAUCCUGGUGUCACCAGGAACUUUACCUGACUGCCAUGACUUUUCACACAUCAGUGAGAGUGGUUUGAUGGCUACAUUAACGAGAUUCCUCAGGACUCUGGGACACAUCGGAAUCUAUAGACUGAUGAAUGUCCAGGUUCUUCAAGUGGUUGCCAACCGGAUCUUCAUUUUUGUAUGACUACGUGCUGUUGAUUAAAGCAGUAAACUGGGGAUGAAAGUGAAUCUGUAUGUCUGAAUUUUCUCACUCCAAAAAGGCUCUUAAAUGAAGCUUCAGAAAGAAGACACAGCUCUGCAAUUUCUCAAACUGCAGGAGUAGCCCCAGUCACAACCAACAGCCUGAGAGUGUCAGAGUCGCAUGAACUACAUGGAGCUCAGUCUGGGUGGUUGCAUAAGUCCCACCAAUUAUUGGAGGAGCAGAAGCACAAGGCAUGGCUUUUUGUCCUCAUUGCCAUGAAGACUAUUGUGGUUAUAGGUGGUUAGCUGACUCUGCCAACUCUCAUCCAGCACACUCGUGAGACUGGUGGCUGAAUUGCCAGCACCUCCACAUGCACAGCACAUAUAGCAUACACGUGGCACGCACAGUCAUAAAGUGCUGAAGCCCGGAAACGCUCUCAAACACUCCCAGGACUUCAUAAGCCUCUACUGCUGCCACCACCCACUGCUCUUACUGCUACUACUUCUACUGAAAUCCAGUAUUAGCUCUGUUUUCUACCCUGAAAAUUAGGGACAGAGAUGAAGAUUCAAAAGUUGCAAAGAAUCAAAAAGAAAUUGUAAAGAUAGCAAUAGCUUAGCCAUUAAAAUGUCCUGUAAAAUAAAUUUUCUACAUUUUACACAUUCCUCUAACAAUCUUUGCUUCUCUUUAAAUGAAUAGAGUUAAAUUAGUUUCCAUACACCCAGAAAUCCUCUCACAUUUCUCCAUAAGAUCAAGUCUUUACUCUUUUAUUGCUUUAAAUUCAUAUAAGCAUUCAAUAAUCUAUGUGUUCAUACCAAUAUAAAUUUUAAUGAAAAUAUAUUAGAUACAAUUGCACUGACAUAGGCUAGUAAGCCUCACUGUUUCCUUAACUUGCUCUCACACUGUUAGGAGUUUUGCUAGCUACAUUCAAGGCAAACUGAGAGGACUGUGUGAAGAAGGGAUUUCAGAAAGCAUCAAAUCCUCUGUUUCCCUAUGUCUCUCUUCUGUAGGAACUGCUUUUAAACUGAGGCCUUUUGAUAAAACAAGUUCUCAGGUAUAAUACAUCAUUUUUUCAAUAGUCACCAGCAUUAGAUAUGCAUUUUUGCCAGCAAUGACCAGGAGCCUGCAUGCCGCACUAAUACCUGCACCAACAGACCCACUGUUGCUGUCACCACUGCUGAAACACAUCAUCCACCACCUCACUGUGCUCACAAACUCUUUCUUCUCCAAAAACAAUCAGCUAAUAUUGAUGAAUGUCAUUGAGUGCAAUUUUUCCCUCAUCUAUUUCAUAAUCACUUCUGUAUCAGAUGUCAUUUUGUCAGACUGCCCUUCUACCAUCGUCUGUAACAUGGCAACAAAAUGUAAUGGAAUAUUGGUGGACCAAUGUAAUAAAAUAGCAGGCAUUAUUU